UUAAGCGACUAAGCGUACACGGUGGAUGCCCUGGCAGUCAGAGGCGAUGAAGGACGUGCUAAUCUGCGAUAAGCGUCGGUAAGGUGAUAUGAACCGUUAUAACCGGCGAUUUCCGAAUGGGGAAACCCAGUGUGAUUCGUCACACUAUCAUUAACUGAAUCCAUAGGUUAAUGAGGCGAACCGGGGGAACUGAAACAUCUAAGUACCCCGAGGAAAAGAAAUCAACCGAGAUUCCCCCAGUAGCGGCGAGCGAACGGGGAGCAGCCCAGAGCCUGAAUCAGUGUGUGUGUUAGUGGAAGCGUCUGGAAAGGCGCGCGAUACAGGGUGACAGCCCCGUACACAAAAAUGCACAUACUGUGAGCUCGAUGAGUAGGGCGGGACACGUGGUAUCCUGUCUGAAUAUGGGGGGACCAUCCUCCAAGGCUAAAUACUCCUGACUGACCGAUAGUGAACCAGUACCGUGAGGGAAAGGCGAAAAGAACCCCGGCGAGGGGAGUGAAAAAGAACCUGAAACCGUGUACGUACAAGCAGUGGGAGCCUCUUAAUGGGGUGACUGCGUACCUUUUGUAUAAUGGGUCAGCGACUUAUAUUCUGUAGCAAGGUUAACCGAAUAGGGGAGCCGAAGGGAAACCGAGUCUUAACUGGGCGUUAAGUUGCAGGGUAUAGACCCGAAACCCGGUGAUCUAGCCAUGGGCAGGUUGAAGGUUGGGUAACACUAACUGGAGGACCGAACCGACUAAUGUUGAAAAAUUAGCGGAUGACUUGUGGCUGGGGGUGAAAGGCCAAUCAAACCGGGAGAUAGCUGGUUCUCCCCGAAAGCUAUUUAGGUAGCGCCUCGUGAAUUCAUCUCCGGGGGUAGAGCACUGUUUCGGCAAGGGGGUCAUCCCGACUUACCAACCCGAUGCAAACUGCGAAUACCGGAGAAUGUUAUCACGGGAGACACACGGCGGGUGCUAACGUCCGUCGUGAAGAGGGAAACAACCCAGACCGCCAGCUAAGGUCCCAAAGUCAUGGUUAAGUGGGAAACGAUGUGGGAAGGCCCAGACAGCCAGGAUGUUGGCUUAGAAGCAGCCAUCAUUUAAAGAAAGCGUAAUAGCUCACUGGUCGAGUCGGCCUGCGCGGAAGAUGUAACGGGGCUAAACCAUGCACCGAAGCUGCGGCAGCGACGCUUAUGCGUUGUUGGGUAGGGGAGCGUUCUGUAAGCCUGCGAAGGUGUGCUGUGAGGCAUGCUGGAGGUAUCAGAAGUGCGAAUGCUGACAUAAGUAACGAUAAAGCGGGUGAAAAGCCCGCUCGCCGGAAGACCAAGGGUUCCUGUCCAACGUUAAUCGGGGCAGGGUGAGUCGACCCCUAAGGCGAGGCCGAAAGGCGUAGUCGAUGGGAAACAGGUUAAUAUUCCUGUACUUGGUGUUACUGCGAAGGGGGGACGGAGAAGGCUAUGUUGGCCGGGCGACGGUUGUCCCGGUUUAAGCGUGUAGGCUGGUUUUCCAGGCAAAUCCGGAAAAUCAAGGCUGAGGCGUGAUGACGAGGCACUACGGUGCUGAAGCAACAAAUGCCCUGCUUCCAGGAAAAGCCUCUAAGCAUCAGGUAACAUCAAAUCGUACCCCAAACCGACACAGGUGGUCAGGUAGAGAAUACCAAGGCGCUUGAGAGAACUCGGGUGAAGGAACUAGGCAAAAUGGUGCCGUAACUUCGGGAGAAGGCACGCUGAUAUGUAGGUGAAGUCCCUUGCGGAUGGAGCUGAAAUCAGUCGAAGAUACCAGCUGGCUGCAACUGUUUAUUAAAAACACAGCACUGUGCAAACACGAAAGUGGACGUAUACGGUGUGACGCCUGCCCGGUGCCGGAAGGUUAAUUGAUGGGGUUAGCGGUAACGCGAAGCUCUUGAUCGAAGCCCCGGUAAACGGCGGCCGUAACUAUAACGGUCCUAAGGUAGCGAAAUUCCUUGUCGGGUAAGUUCCGACCUGCACGAAUGGCGUAAUGAUGGCUAGGCUGUCUCCACCCGAGACUCAGUGAAAUUGAACUCGCUGUGAAGAUGCAGUGUACCCGCGGCAAGACGGAAAGACCCCGUGAACCUUUACUAU
rnacentral:rRNA from 2 species